UACGGAGGGUGCAAGCGUUAUCCGGAUUCACUGGGUUUAAAGGGUGUGUAGGCGGAUAUUUAAGUCAGUGGUGAAAUUUCCAGGCUCAACCUGGAAACUGCCAUUGAUACUAUUUAUCUUGAAUAUCGUUGAGGUAGGCGGAAUAUGUCAUGUAGCGGUGAAAUGCUUAGAGAUGACAUAGAACACCAAUUGCGAAGGCAGCUUACUAAACGAUUAUUGACGCUGAGGCACGAAAGCGUGGGGAUCAAACAGG
rnacentral:rRNA from 1 species